rnacentral:rRNA from 1 species
AGUGAACGCUGGCGGUAGGCCUAACACAUGCAAGUCGAACGGCAGCACAGUAAGAGCUUGCUCUUACGGGUGGCGAGUGGCGGACGGGUGAGGAAUACAUCGGAAUCUACUUUUUCGUGGGGGAUAACGUAGGGAAACUUACGCUAAUUCCGCAUACGACCUACGGGUGAAAGCAGGGGAUCUUCGGACCUUGCGCGAUUGAAUGAGCCGAUGUCGGAUUAGCUAGUUGGCGGGGUAAAGGCCCACCAAGGCGACGAUCCGUAGCUGGUCAGAGAGGAUGAUCAGCCACACUGGAACUGAGACACGGUCCAGACUCCUACGGGAGGCAGCAGUGGGGAAUAGUGGACAAUGGGCGCAAGCCUGAUCCAGCCAUACCGCGUGGGUGAAGAAGGCCUUCGGGUUGUAAAGCUCUUUUGUUUGGAAAGAAAAGCAGCAGGUUAAUACCCCGCGGUUCUGACGGUACCCAAAGAAUAAGCACCGGCUAACUUCGUG